AUUGACCGCUGGCGGCAGGCCUAACACAUGCAAGUCGAACGAGUGGCGGACGGGUGAGUAACGUCUGGGAAACUGCCCGAUGGAGGGGGAUACAUACAGGAAACGGUAGCUAAUAACGAAUACCAUCGGAUGUGACAAGAUGGGAUUAGCUAGUAGGUGGGGUAACGGCUCACCUAGGCGAUGAUCCCUAGCUGGUUUGAUAGGAUGACCAGCCACACUGGAACGGGGACACGGUCCAGACUCCUACGGGAGGCAGCAGUGGGGAAGAUUGCACAAUGGGCGCAAGCCUGAUGCAGCCAUGCCGCGUGUAUGAAGAAGGCCUUCGGGUUGUAAAGUACUUUCAGCGAGGAGGCGUUACUCGCAGAAGAAGCACCGGCUAACUCCGUGCCAGCAGCCGCGGUAAUAC
rnacentral:rRNA from 1 species